UUUCAUUUUAAGGAGAAAAAACAAAAUCCUGUCAUCUAGUCUUGUUUACUGCACAUCCACCUGAGAGAGGGCAGUGCAAAUCACCAUAGCAACCAAAGGUAAAGCCCUCCCUCCAUAUUCCCAUCUGAUUAAUGUAAAAUUAGAACCCACAGCUAAACCUCCGAGGCUUGGUUCUUUUAGGGAGAGGACAUCCAUUCGUCGCAAGAUGGGGCAGCAUUUAUUAUCGUGGAGGCUCUGGCCGGGGGAGGGGGUCAUGAGUCCUCCAGAGAAAGUCAGUUCUCUGGGGCCAUUGCUGAUCUCACCCAGGUGAGUGCACUUGAGUCUUUCCUAUCGAGGAAAUGUGGAACAGCUGCAUGUGCUUAGCUAGAAGGGUCAGAUCUCACCAGGAAGGAAGCAGGGAAGAGAAGAUCGAAGGUGAGAGCAGAGGAAACAAGGAUGAGAAUGAGGUGAGCACCUGAGAUACCUUCUGGAACAUCCUCCCGCGUGAUGGAUGACAGAAGGAAGGUACAGAAGUUUCUGGGACCUCCGCCAGCUUCCGCUCCGAGGUAGCAACAUCCAAUCCAGAGCCCUGGGUUCAUCUGAGAGGGGGACUCCGCCUUCCAGCAAGAACCUGCAUCCCUCAGGCGUUGCCCAGUGGAGGUGAGAGGAGCUUGGGCUAAAGCUGUGACCCCGUCAGAGACUGAGCCUCUCAAAAAAGCCAGGGAGGUGGCUAGUUGGGAGAGAGCAAGCAGCCGCUGAAAAUGUCGCAGCAGAGAGGUGAACCAGCACAAUUAAAAUACAAUUGGCUCCAAGAUUACGUUCUGCUUUUGUGGGCGGGGAAUGUGUCUGUUUAUCGUUAUGUUGUACUCACCCACCCACUUAGUACAGUGCUCUGCACACAGUAAGCAC
rnacentral:lncRNA from 1 species